rnacentral:siRNA from 1 species
UUUGACUCAUCAAACCAAUUGACC